UUUCAACAACGGAUCUCUUGGUUCUGGCAUCGAUGAAGAACGCAGCAAAAUGCGAUAAGUAAUGUGAAUUGCAGAAUUCAGUGAAUCAUCGAAUCUUUGAACGCACAUUGCGCCCGCCAGUAUUCUGGCGGGCAUGCCUGUUCGAGCGUCAUUUCAAC
rnacentral:rRNA from 3 species